UCUUAUGGAUGAGUAAAGAAAGUGAUUCUUGAGCUGGAAUCUACUCCUUGUAAAGAUUCUGUGAA
rnacentral:pre_miRNA from 1 species